rnacentral:rRNA from 1 species
GAUGAACGCUGGCGGCGUGCCUAAUACAUGCAAGUCGAGCGGACAGACGAGAAGCUUGCUUCUCUGAUGUUAGCGACGGACGGGUGAGUAACACGUGGGUAACCUACCUAUAAGACUGGGAUAACUCCGGGAAACCGGGGCUAAUACCGGACAAUAUUUUGAACCGCAUGGUUCGAUAGUGAAAGACGGUUUCGGCUGUCACUUAUAGAUGGACCCGCGCCGUAUUAGCUAGUUGGUAAGGUAACGGCUUACCAAGGCGACGAUACGUAGCCGACCUGAGAGGGUGAUCGGCCACACUGGAACUGAGACACGGUCCAGACUCCUACGGGAGGCAGCAGUAGGGAAUCUUCCGCAAUGGGCGAAAGCCUGACGGAGCAACGCCGCGUGAGUGAUGAAGGUCUUCGGAUCGUAAAACUCUGUUGUUAGGGAAGAACAAAUUUGUUAGUAACUGAACAAGUCUUGACGGUACCUAACCAGAAAGCCACGGCUAACUACGUGCCAGCCGCCGCCGUAA